GCAUAAACUCCGGGCACAUGUGUCCGGACGAGACGUUUCCCGGGCGGUCAUGCCCUGAUCCAACCCGACACGGAGACGCACGCAAUCCGGGGCUAGUCUGAAGGUUGUUCCGACCCGAUGGCGAAACAAACAGGAAAUAAGGACAGGUUAGGUUGUUCUGCAGCUGACAGGUCACGAAAAUCAAGCAGAACUAAGCAUGUAGAAAGCGUAUGGCUUCCGUGUUUGGACGCGGGUUCGACUCCCGCCAGCUCCACAA
rnacentral:tmRNA from 1 species